GAUGAACGCUGGCGGCGUGCCUAAUACAUGCAAGUCGAGCGAAGCGGGGACGGGUGAGUAACACGUGGAUAACCUCCUAUAAGACUGGGAUAACUUCGGGAACCCGGAGAUAAAACGGAUACUUAUAGCUGGAUCCGCACUGCAUUAGCUAGUUGGUAAGGUAACGGCUUACCAAGGCAACGAUGCAUAGCCGACCUGAGAGGGUGAGCUGCCACCCUGGAACUGCGACACGGUCCAGACCCCGCCGGGAGGAAGCAGUAGGGAAUCUUCCGCAAUGGGCGAAAGCCUGACGGAGCAACGCCGAGUGAGUUAUUAAGUUCUUCGGAUCGUAAAACUCUGUUAGUAGGGAAGCGGUACCUAAUCAGAAAGCCACGGCUAACUACGUGCCAGCAGCCGCGGUAAUAC
rnacentral:rRNA from 1 species